AAACUUUCAACAACGGAUCUCUUGGUUCCGGCAUCGAUGAAGAACGCAGCGAAAUGCGAUAAUUAAUGUGAAUUGCAGAA
rnacentral:rRNA from 1 species